rnacentral:rRNA from 1 species
GAAUGCCAGCAAUCUCUUUUUGAGUCUCAUUUUGCAUCUCGGCAAUCUCUUUCUGAUUGUCCAGUUGCAUUUUAGUAAGCUCUUUUUGAUUCUCAAAUCCGGCGUCAACCAUACCAGCAGAGGAAGCAUCAGCACCAGCACGCUCCCAAGCAUUAAGCUCAGGAAAUGCAGCAGCAAGAUAAUCACGAGUAU